rnacentral:lncRNA from 1 species
CGAGAAUGACAAAAGUAAAAUAAGGUCUGCUUCUUUGUCUUUAUCAUCACUGUGCUCUCGUGGUUUAUUUUAAACCCACUGUUUAAACACAGAAGUUGGAGGCAGUUGGAGUAAACGCCAAGCUCAAAAUGUGUCUGAAACUACGCUGGAGCAAAAAUACACAGGGCCGAAUCCACGGGGCAAGCCCGCCUAAACAUAAGGACAUUUUCUGCAUUCAUUUCCAGACAGCAUACGUGGAUUCAUGAAUAGGCUGGAGACUUAGAGAGCUCGAAGAACCUGCCCCAGAUCUAUCGGGGGAGCGGCCCCUUGGGGACCUAAUCAAGUCACACUCAGGCUAGUGUUUUCCCUCAGCCAUGGUGACCUGCACCUCACUCCACAAAGGCCCACCAGAUCUUACCAGCAGGACCUGGGGGACGUGGGCCUUCUGGAUCUCCAGGACCUGGUUUUGUGUUUUUCAUUCUGACCAUUCUGAUUGACGGAGGGGUAUGUCUCCACUUGGUUUUCAUUUCCAUUUCCCCUAACAGCGAGUAAACCUUACCACCUUUUCAUAGGCUUAUUACCCAUUUAGAUGGCCUUCCUUGGGUGCAACUGUAUGUUUCUUCUCCACAUCCUUCUAUGGAACAGUGUGCCCUUUUCAUAUGGACUUCAUAUGGACUUGUGGGAGUUAUUUUUAU